AACGAACGCUGGCGGCAUGCCUAACACAUGCAAGUCGAACGAGACCUUCGGGUCUAGUGGCGCACGGGUGCGUAACGCGUGGGAAUCUGCCCUUGGGUUCGGAAUAACAGUUAGAAAUGACUGCUAAUACCGGAUGAUGACUUCGGUCCAAAGAUUUAUCGCCCAAGGAUGAGCCCGCGUAGGAUUAGCUAGUUGGUAGGGUAAAGGCCUACCAAGGCGACGAUCCUUAGCUGGUCUGAGAGGAUGAUCAGCCACACUGGGACUGAGACACGGCCCAGACUCCUACGGGAGGCAGCAGUGGGGAAUAUUGGACAAUGGGCGAAAGCCUGAUCCAGCAAUGCCGCAUGAGUGAUGAAGGCCCUAGGGUUGUAAAGCUCUUUUACCCGGGAUGAUAAUGACAGUACCGGGAGAAUAAGCCCCGGCUAACUCCGUGCCAGCCGCCGCGGUAAGAC
rnacentral:rRNA from 1 species